CCUACGGGUGGCAGCAGUGGGGAAUAUUGGACAAUGGGCGAAAGCCUGAUCCAGCCAUGCCGCGUGUGUGAAGAAGGCCUUCGGGUUGUAAAGCACUUUCAGUGGGGAAGAAAGCCUUGGGGCUAAUACCCUCGAGGAAGGACAUCACCCACAGAAGAAGCACCGGCUAACUCCGUGCCAGCAGCCGCGGUAAUACGGAGGGUGCGAGCGUUAAUCGGAAUUACUGGGCGUAAAGCGCGCGUAGGUGGUCUGAUAAGCCGGUUGUGAAAGCCCCGGGCUCAACCUGGGAACGGCAUCCGGAACUGUCAGGCUAGAGUGCAGGAGAGGAAGGUAGAAUUCCCGGUGUAGCGGUGAAAUGCGUAGAGAUCGGGAGGAAUACCAGUGGCGAAGGCGGCCUUCUGGACUGACACUGACGCUGAGGUGCGAAAGCGUGGGUAGCAAACAGGAUUAGAUACCUAGUAGUC
rnacentral:rRNA from 1 species